rnacentral:rRNA from 1 species
AUUGAACGCUGGCGGCAGGCCUAACACAUGCAAGUCGAACGGUAACAUUUCUAGCUUGCUAGAAGAUGACGAGUGGCGGACGGGUGAGUAAUACUUAGGGAUCUGCCUUUGUGAGGGGGAUAACUAUUGGAAACGAUAGCUAAUACCGCAUGAUUGUUUUUCUUAUGAGAAGACCAAAGGGGGCUUUCGGGCUCUCGCACAAAGAGGAACCUAAGCGAGAUUAGCUAGUUGGUGGGGUAAAGGCUCACCAAGGCGACGAUCUCUAGCUGUUCUGAGAGGAAGAUCAGCCACACUGGGACUGAGACACGGCCCAGACUCCUACGGAGGCAGCAGU